UACGGAGGGAGCUAGCGUUGUUCGGAAUUACUGGGCGUAAAGCGCGCGUAGGCGGCUUUGUAAGUUAGAGGUGAAAGCCCGGGGCUCAACUCCGGAAUUGCCUUUAAGACUGCAUCGCUAGAAUUGUGGAGAGGUAAGUGGAAUUCCGAGUGUAGAGGUGAAAUUCGUAGAUAUUCGGAAGAACACCAGUGGCGAAGGCGACUUACUGGACACAUAUUGACGCUGAGGUGGCGAAAAGCGUGGGGAGCAAACAGG
rnacentral:rRNA from 1 species